rnacentral:rRNA from 1 species
CCUACGGGUGGCUGCAGUGGGGAAUAUUGGACAAUGGGGGGAACCCUGAUCCAGCCAUGCCGCGUGUGUGAAGAAGGCCCUCGGGUUGUAAAGCACUUUCAGUGAGGAAGAACGCCUGGUGGUUAAUACCCAUCAGGAAAGACAUCACUCACAGAAGAAGCACCGGCUAACUCCGUGCCAGCAGCCGCGGUAAUACGGAGGGUGCGAGCGUUAAUCGGAAUUACUGGGCGUAAAGCGCGCGUAGGUGGCUUGAUAAGCCGGUUGUGAAAGCCCCGGGCUCAACCUGGGAACGGCAUCCGGAACUGUCAAGCUAGAGUGCAGGAGAGGAAGGUAGAAUUCCCGGUGUAGCGGUGAAAUGCGUAGAGAUCGGGAGGAAUACCAGUGGCGAAGGCGGCCUUCUGGACUGACACUGACACUGAGGUGGGAAAGCGUGGGUAGCAAACAGGAUUAGAUACCCCGGUAGUC